CCCACCAAGCUCAAAUUCUCAGCAGUCAAGAAUUUUGGAAUAUUUAGUUUCUCUUAAAUCUCAAGUAUAGAUUUUCACAUGGCUUGUGAAUAUGGUAAAGCCACUAAUUGACAGUAUUAUAGUUUCUCAUAAUGUGCAUAUUUGUAACUGCUCUUGCACGACUAACAGAACCAAAGAAGUAUUUCGAAGCAAUUUAUCUAUCUAUUCAGUGCACAAUCACUUUCUUAUUCACCUCUUCUUCGCAAUGUGACUGAAUAUACCUGAAAACAAGAGGCAACUGUGUUAGUAGUGUUUGAGGUGUAUGCAAACAUGAACCAUAAGAGAGGACAAUGAAACCACAAAUGGUGGAAAGUUCCCAUAUGCUUGUGAUAGUAAUUGUACAAAGCAGAUCUCCACAAUGCUAAAUAAAAGAACAUAGAUGGUACGCGAUAUAGCCGACCACUGAAUGACUAUCCACACACUGGAAGGACUUACUGUUGUGAGCCUAGGGAUUCAAACUUGCUAAUUCUAUGGAAGAAAAUAAUCAAGAGCUAGAAAAGAAUGUUUAGACAACUAAGUUAGGGAAAAGGAGUCACCACAUCAAAAAGGGAAAAAUAAAAGGCACUUCCUGUGAUAAGGAACCUGUUUGUAGACUGCACCUGAUCAGAUUAUACCAUUUGAAUACAUUAGUAGUAUAAUAAAAUCAGGGCCCAUUUUAACAGCUGACAAAUUUAAUUAACUAAAAAAAGACAUAAAAGUUGAUAGCUUUUUGAAGGUACUGAGUCCUGUGCAUACUUGUGUUUUGAGCAUACGACAGAGGGAGGCUAACUCAAACAAUAAAAACAUGGCAUGAAUAAGCAACAAAUACUCCAACAACGGAGGUACAUUUGAGCAAAAAGCAGAGAUUCCGGUGAUAUACUGCCUCUAAUUGGUUCUGGUCUCUUCAAAACUCAUCAAUACAAAGCUAUAUACUUGCCAUGAUUGCUGAAUUUCUUAUCAAGAAAAAGAAGAUCAGCUUGGCAUAGCCAGAAGUAUGUAUGAGGAUCUGCAUGAGUCAAGAGGCAUAACUGAGAUAUCUCAAACUUUUUUUUCUUACAUUUUUUUGUUGAACCCAUUUAGAUGUUAACAUACAAUAAAACUAAAAGGGACAGGAUAUUCUAAAUACAUAUGGACAGCUUCAAUACAAUUAGGUAAAUUAUAAUAUGUAGUGAAGGAAUCAUGCAUUUUUAGUUUAGAACUAAGUGCCUAAGUUUGUUGCCAAACCAUACAUAAAGUGGACUGCUAAAGUUAUAUGACUCUGCAGCAUCAAAUUGACAGAUAAAUAAUCAUAUCCAAAUGUUUUCAGAAGCACAUUAAUGGGAAAGGCAAACACAUCUCCCUGAUUAAUGGGGAAAAAAUGACCGACAUAACUAAUAACUUUAAGUCGACAACGAAAACUUUAAAUAUAGUAAGGGACAUUGCAUGAUUAUAUAUAUAACUGUUGUACCUAUCUACGCCAAGAACAUAAACCACAGCAGCAUAGAUGGUAAAAUUGGGUAAAUGAAAUUGAUUUGCGGAAGAUGCGACCUGUCCAGUAAAUAUGAAACCAAAAACAAGCACAUUAAAAAACUGGAGCUAAUUGAAGACAAUAAGCAUUCAAAAAUUAUCACUCAACAACAGAAAAUCUAAAAAUAUUUACUGCUCUUUGGUUUAGGAAAAACUCAUAUAUCCAUAUUUAUGAAAACCGAUCCACACUAUCUAAGAAAUAUCCACCAAAUCGAUGUUUACAUACAUAUAAAUCGAAUAAGACAACCAACAGGCACUUGCUCACAUGGUCGCUGCAUGGCUGCUCUGCUUUGCUGCGUCACUUGACUUGUGUUCAUCUACCUGCAUCUGCGCUGAACUAAAACGGAGACAUCAAUACUGAAUUGGAACUGGGAUGCUGAAGCAGAACACAACAUACAUAAUCGGCGCUGGCUGAUCCCUGUCGUCGAGCAGAGUGAGGGCAAUGGGGGUUGUGUGCACCACGAUUGCUAAAGCUACGGUACAUGCCCCCAUCCUUACUAAUUGUGGUGAAUAGACAAGGGCAGGCACAUAGGGUUUUAUGGACCAUAGGCCGAGACGGGGACCAGUGAGAGGGAGCCCUUCGGGGGGGGGGGGCACCCCCACUGGAGGUCACCGGCGGGGCGCCAUGCCGUGC
rnacentral:lncRNA from 1 species